GUCCCAGUUCAGAUUGCAGUCUGCAACUCGACUGCAUGAAGUCGGAAUCGCUAGUAAUCGCGGAUCAGCAUGCCGCGGUGAAUACGUUCCCGGGCCUUGUACACACCGCCCGUCACACCAUGAGAGUCGGGAACACCCGAAGUCCGUAGCCUAACCGCAAGGGGGGCGCGGCCGAAGGUGGGUUCGAUAAUUGGGGUGAAGUCGUAACAAGGUACC
rnacentral:rRNA from 1 species